rnacentral:lncRNA from 1 species
AAAAACUUUAGGUUGGCAGCAUUGCAAGACCACUGCACCCCCGGAAGAAACUUCUGUUCCUUAGAACAUCGUUCACUAUGGACAGGAGGAGUCUGGCCGAAUGCGCUCUAAUGAGAUGCAACGGCCAUAUAAAGAGUGGAAGAUAUACAAAAUUAUAUCUGAUAACCAGUUACGACUUUGGUGAAGAGGCAUAAGCCUAUAGCAGGGCCCCACACAACACAAUACACAUCACAAUAUUUUGUAAAUUUUAUUAAGAACCAAUAAACAUUUUUGACUUGACUUUGGUGAACCCAUUGGUUAAUCCAUGUUGAAAAACGGAACGUAAUGUUCCUUUAUUGUCUUGGCGGGAAAAUAGUUUUAAAAUCGAAAUCAUCCAUUCGUGAAUCACAUCGCCGAUGUUUGCCAGUGUUAAAAAAAAGUAUUUGGCAAAUUUCAAUUUUCCGUUCAGUUUGAAAAGUAAUACAGCCUAAACAAUACCUUAUCGAAAGCAAAGAAUGAUGAGAAGUCGUCAUUCAAGAGGUGGAAGUAUUCAGCGAAGUGAUAUUUGACAAUUGCAAGAAAAUCUUUGGCAUGUGAAAUCGCAAAUGCUACCUGAUGAACAUUAUAUUAUCCACAAAAAUGAUGCCUAUUCUUACAUCUAUUCCUGUACCUGUCCAGAUUAUUCUAACAAUUUAAAUUCAUGCAAGCAAAUUCAUACAAUAGGUACUAAAACGUUCUGAAGACUGUGAGACCUUUACCUGUAACAGUAAUAGUGAUGGUUCAGAAGAUGACGAUAAGUUUUAGGGUGAAACCUAAUAGAAUUAAAAUACGUCAUUUUAGAGGUCCUCAAAUUUCAUGGAAAGGCAUAGUUUUUGUUGGUCAGAAUGUUUGGUAUCUCAAACGACUGAUAAUAUAAAAAAGUUUAUUACAUGUAGCUCAAUAGUGCAGGAUUUACUGUUUUCCCUGUCUUAUUUGUAUUCAUUCAUAUUCAUGCAGUUGCCCAUUUGGCACAUUCAAACUUGUGUAAACAUAUUCAUGCCGUAUAUAAUAAAUAUGAUGAUAUGAUGAUAAUAACAACGAUGUCUGCAAUACUAACCAAAACAGUUCGUUAGAUUUUUGACAUUUAAAUGGAUCUCGGCUUGGACUUGAUGCUGUAGUAAGUGUAAAACAAAAUAUUUGGCAGGUUCUAUCUUGAACUGGACAAGAUGCACAUUAUUCUGUCAGAAGGAACUGUAAUAGUUGUCACUUGAAAAAUUGCAAAUCAUUUUGUUUGAAAUGCAAAAUAUGUAUUUUUUCUUGUGACUGUCCUGAUUACUCAACAAAUUUUAAGUUGUGCAAACAUAUUCAUGCUGUUGCCAAUACUCUGAUAAAUAUUGGCAAAGAAAACAUUGAAGAAGGUAGCAGUUCCAGUAAUAAUUUGUCAAAUUCGAGAGAAAUAGUCAAUCAGUAUCAGCCAUUACAGGAGGAACCCAAAACAGAAAGGACAUUGCAAAAAAUAAAAUAACUUAGUCGAUAUAUCCAAUAAUAUAUCAAAGUAGUAUUAUAAAAGAUUAGAUACAUUCAUCUGUUCCAUGCCAAAACAGUCUUAUCAGUUUUUCAUUUAAUUUUUAUCAUAGUUCUAAGUUCAGAAUGCAUAGUU